rnacentral:tRNA from 1 species
GCCCAGGUGGCGGAAUUGGUAGACGCACUCGUUUCAGGGGCGAGCGCCGAAAGGCAUGAAAGUUCGAUUCUUUUCCUGGGCACCA